rnacentral:lncRNA from 1 species
CAACAUAAGAACCCCAAAUGGGUUUGACAAUUUAGUUCCUCAUACUAAUAAGCAACACAAAGUAAAGAAUAGAUUCAGAAAAGUAAAUUAAAGGCAUGUACACCCUUCUUCUUCAAGUUGGAUGAGAAACCCUAAAUUCCCAAUUUAGAAUAGUAGACCCUAAUUUGCUUCUUGAAUGUUCCCAAAUCUUGUCUUGAUCUUCAAUUUGAUGUUAAAACAGUUGUAAUCCUUCCUUCAAUAGAUGAAAUGAUCUUCUAAGGUCGAGUAUUGAAGUAUGGAAGAAGAUGGUUUAAGCUUGUAUAAUGGAAAUCAAGUCAGAAAAUCGAACCCUAAUUC